UACGUAGGUGGCAAGCGUUGUCCGGAUUUACUGGGCGUAAAGCGAACGCAGGCGGAUUGUUAAGUAGGAAGUGAAAGGUUGGAGCUCAACUCCGACACUGCUCCCUAUACUGGCAGUCUUGAGUACUGGAGAGGAAAGCGGAACGACACGUGUAGCGGUGAAAUGCGUUGAUAUGUGUCGGAACACCAAUGGCGAAAGCAGCUUUCUGGACAGAGACUGACGCUGAGGUUCGAAAGCCAAGGUAGCAAACAGG
rnacentral:rRNA from 1 species